CUAUAAAAGAGGCCAAUAAUUCCAUCCUCACCUCCUCUGGCUACUGUGAGACCAAUUAGAUGACUGAGGAGACAUUUUCUUCCAAGGACCAGAGAACAGAACCAGGCCACCUAAUCAAGCAGAGAGCCUUCUGUUCUGGGAACCACUCAAGACAGGUGGAUCAGCUGACUGAAGUCCUGCAUGAGGGGGGCUGAACCCUGGGCUGUAAGGUCCCUUUGAAAUGCGAGCGGCUACAUUUUGGUGGAUAUCAAAGGGCUUUGGGAAGAAUCUACGUGAGGCUAACCAAAGCUGAUGGAAAAACCUAGCCUCUAUCUGGAACACUGUCAAUCUGGCAGAAAGAAAAAGACAAGACAAAUGAGGCCCUGACUUCUACAACUUAGCACAAAAGUGAUCAACAUCUCUUCUUUGGCCAAAGCAAGUCACAUGGCCAUUCCCAAGGUCAACAGUGUGGGGAUAUAUCCUACAGAGAGGAGCGCAGCUGGGAAAGAAACUGGAAAGUUUGGUGAACAAGAAGACAUCUCCCACUACCUCCUUCUAGGACAACUUCCCUCCCAGAGGUAACUGCUCUCAGCACUUCAGUCCCCUUUCUUAUGUAUUUGCCUAAGUGUGUGUGUGUGUGUGUGUGUGUGUGUGUGUG